UCUUCGGAGAACACCUCAUAGCGCCAAGUAUAAUCCUCAAGCAUUUUGCCUGGAUGAGGUCUAGUUUGUCAAGGCCAUCCUUAUUGCAAGGUUCCAUUAAAAGUGACCCAUAAUCUAUAUGACUGCGUAUGAUGGCAUUAUAUAGUAACUUCUGGCAAUAAGGAUGAGAACCCCACCACACCCCGGACAGUGCUCGUAGUAUGUUGAUAUUUUUUUCACAUUUACCUAUUAUGUAUUUGUGGUGCAGAGUGCCAGACAUUUUAUGGUCCAAAAUAACACCUAGAAACUUUACAGACUCCUUACUCGGAAUUCUGACACCGUCAUAGUAUACAUCAGUUGUUGGCAUGUUCCUUCUGCGGCUAAAUGUAACAGUACAACUCUUUGUCGGAGAUAGAGUAAGCCCAUGGUCACCGAGCCAAUCCCCAAGAAAGAGCGAUUGGUCGAUAGGAAUUAGCCUCGUCUGGGUUUUUAGACGGCUUUAGGAUAGGAAUGACUACCUGGGACUUCCAAUCUGCUGGAACCUCUCCUGUGUUAAAGGCAUGGUUUAUGAUGCCAAGCAGAUAUUCCUGUCCGGGAGUAUUUAGCUUAGACAGGAAACAAUAUGGAAUCCCAUCCUCUCCAGCGGCUCUGGCGGUGGUGAAGGGAGGAU
rnacentral:lncRNA from 1 species